ensembl:lncRNA
AUGGUAACCGUCCCCAGGGUGAGGCUCUCGAGCCAGAGGCUUCGCCUGCAGCCCUGCGCGGCUGCAGCGGACCACAGCCGUGUGAGGCAUCCUCCGCCGCUGGGCGCCCCCCUCGAAGUCCAGAGUCAUGCUGCGGCAGCCUGGUGCCUGACAAGUGAGGGGAACCUGCCAGGGGAUUACUGCUCGCUCAGGGCAGGACCGAGGCCUCGGGAGCAGGGAUGGGCAGGGCAGCCUCCAAGCCUGGGCCAGCAGCACCAAGACGGAGGCCUGGGCCCCGGCCUGGAGCUCGACACGUGCCCACUUGGUUGCCCCAGGUGGCACUCAAAGCAGCACUCUUCUGAGAAACGGGUGAUCGCCAGCCCCAAAGACCACACAGCAGGAGCUGGAGCUCAGCCACCCCUGCACAACUAGGACUAUCAGGAGAAGGGACUGGCACCUCAGGGGACGCAGGAAGGCAGACCCGAACGGCAGGAGGACCUUGUCCCUGAAGAGUUUACCGGCGCCCGCAGAGAUUCCUGAGCCUCUUCUCUCCAGACUGGGCUCAGUUCCUUUCUCUCCCCCGGCAGAGGCAUCGGGCCGAGACGGGGGAAGACUUCAUGACGUUCCGGCUGCUGGAAGCCCACGUGCUCUCUGCUGUGACUGGGGUUCAAGGGCUUCCCUGCUGCGGGGGACGAGGGGCCGCCUCAGCAUCUGCUCAUGAACCACAAGGACCCCGAAUGCUGCAGACUGGAUCGUUUCAAGCCGCCAAAGAGGGGGACCCCCAGAGCUGGCAGCCAGCAACCCCAAGGGACUAGAGGGCUGGGAUGGACUGACCUCCUCUUUGCCGGGGCUCCGGAAGCAGCAGAUCCUCUGUGGCCCAGCUAGUGGCAGACGGAGCUGAUGAAGCCGUGAGCGGGGCCGGCGGCCGGGACAGGAGCCACUGCCGCCGCCAGACUCUUCUGGCACCGAGGGCGCAUGUGCGGGCCCCUGCCUCCGUCCCUGCCCGGCACCCGCCCGCAUGUCCUUUGCACGUGGUGCCAAAGCAGGCGGGCUGCGCUGUAGCUGGCCUGUUGGCGGGCUGGGGAAGCAGUGGCCGUGGUGAGGCCCGCCUGCUGCCGGCCUGAGAGCC